rnacentral:rRNA from 1 species
AUUGAACGCUGGCGGCAUGCCUUACACAUGCCAGUCGAACGGCAGCACGGGUGCUUGCCCCUGGUGGCGAGUGGCGAACGGGUGAGUAAUACAUCGGAACAUGUCCUGUAGUGGGGGAUAGCCCGGCGAAAGCCGGAUUAAUACCGCAUACGAUCUACGGAUGACAGCGGGGGACCUUCGGGCCUCGCGCUAUAGGGUUGGCCGAUGGCUGAUUAGCUAGUUGGUGGGGUAAAGGCCUACCAAGGCGACGAUCAGUAGCUGGUCUGAGAGGACGACCAGCCACACUGGGACUGAGACACGGCCCAGACUCCUACGGGAGGCAGCAGUGGGGAAUUUUGGACAAUGGGCGAAAGCCUGAUCCAGCAAUGCCGCGUGUGUGAAGAAGGCCUUCGGGUUGUAAAGCACUUUUGUCCGGAAAGAAAUCCUUGGCCCUAAUACGGUCGGGGGAUGACGGUACCGGAAGAAUAAGCACCGGCUAACUACGUG